rnacentral:lncRNA from 1 species
UCUUUUUCAACGUGCCUUUCUCUCAAACUCAACAUACUCUUUUUCUCUACCAAUAAUUAAACUAACAAAAAGUGAGAUCAUUCCUUUGGACUUGUGCUUAAUUUUUUCUCCUCUCUUAAAUCAAGAAAGGUAUGCUCUCUCAUGACUUCACUUGUGAAUUCUCUCAAAGAUGGACAUAGUGCUUCAUAGCUUAGGAUGAUUUGUUACUUGAAUUAAGUUUUUGUGAGAUUAUUGGGAUGAUUACUACUUGUUGGAAUAAUUAUGUUGUCAUUGAUGCCUUGUUUCACUAAUUUUAUUCGUGAUACUUUCUUAAAUGAAGCUAGUGCACCAUGUGUUUGACAAAAUGUCCAUUGAACCUUUCUUCCUUAUUUUGUGGUGGGUGGAUCAAGUACGAUAAUAUGAGCAUCUUGAGUAUGUUUAGAGAUGAUUUGGUGAAAUAAUCUUAUUCUCUUGUGCUCUUAUUCUCUUUCUUCCAAGUUCUUGAUUGGCAUGUCCACUAUGUGUUUGAUGAAAUGACAUUAAGAGAGGAAUGUGUUGUUGCUUAGGAUGGCCAAUGUGAAUUUCCUUAGGACAUGGUGUGGUCAUUUCUUAUGCAUUUUUUUUGGGUCCAGUUGAACCUAAUAAUGAAAUAGUUGGUCAUUGGUUGAGGGAGAUUGUUGAGAAAUAGGACAUCCAUGGUUCUUGUUGGUCACUAAGCCUAAUCGGAAAACAUGAAUGUUUGCCUUGCCCUAUGAUAGAUUGGAUGACAUCAUUCUUAAGGGUAUUGGUUAUUCUUGUUUCUAUUGGAGGUUAUGGAUGUCCUAUGAGCUAGUUUUGAGAAAUGUGAAGAAUGUGAGAUAAUGUCGUGCCUAAAUGAUUAAGUGUUGCAAUAAAUAAAACCCAUGGACUCUAGUGAUGAGUUAUCUUAAACCUAUAUCUUGUCCCGCAAGACCUUGGUGAUUCCAAACUAAGUAAUUGUACAUUAGUGGCGAAAUACACAAAGGGCAAGUCGAUGGUUUUAUUCAAUGUACUUGAAUUUCGUUGUGAGAGUGAGUGUGAAUUCUUUCUUUAUUUGAGCUCCCUUAAUAAUUGAAAUAUCUUUGGUGUGCGGAGCUAACUCUUGCAUGUGAGCGGCGUCGGUACUUGUGGGUAGAGGGUGAUGUUUUACUAUCAGUUUGGGCAAAUGAAUGAAGUAAGUUGCAUUGUGAAGAUUGAGACAAUCUUUGAUGAUUUUGUGUCUUACCUUAAGAUGUUUUGUGAUUUGGAAAAUUCAUUUGACACACACUUGCAUCCUUACUUCAUAAAUAUAUGUUUAUUGAAAAGUUUUGGUUUACUUGUUGCCAUGACAUGUGUGGAAAGUAUUUGUAGAGUUUUGUUAGUCUAUUUCUUUAGUAUAGCUUUCUUCUAGGUGGAUUUGAGCUAAAUACCCUAUCUCACUGAGUUAGUCUUGGGUGCUUUUAAGUUUGGGGGGUUGAUAAGUCAUCAAUUUGACGACUUGCUAGCACCUUUUAAGCCUAAAUUAUCAUGUUUUUUCAUUGAUUUGAUGGUACGCUUUUACGUAAUUCCCAUUUAUGUAGGUAAAAGUAAAAAGAGAAGAUUGAACAAGUUAUUCAAGUCAUCAAGAGGCCAAAUGUGAAGGAAAUGAGUCAUCCACUUUGCAUCUGCUUUGCAUCCGCUUCACAUCUGCUUUGGAGCUGCUAGCCAUCUGCUCUUCAUCCGCUUUGAAUUCGCUCAAGAAGAUCAAGGAUAAGGUCGCAAUUUUGUAAUUUUCAUCAAAUGUAGAGUGGAGUUUAAAAGGAGGGUUUUAGCUCUUUUUUUAAGACCUAGUUUUCAUCCCUUAGCAAGAUAGC